AACGAACGCUGGCGGCAUGCCUAACACAUGCAAGUCGAACGAAGCCUUCGGGCUUAGUGGCGCACGGGUGCGUAACGCGUGGGAAUCUGCCUCUUGCUUCGGAAUAACAGUUAGAAAUGACUGCUAAUACCGGAUGAUGUCUUCGGACCAAAGAUUUAUCGGCAAGAGAUGAGCCCGCGUAGGAUUAGGUAGUUGGUGGGGUAAAGGCCUACCAAGCCGACGAUCCUUAGCUGGUCUGAGAGGAUGAUCAGCCACACUGGGACUGAGACACGGCCCAGACUCCUACGGGAGGCAGCAGUGGGGAAUAUUGGACAAUGGACGCAAGUCUGAUCCAGCAAUGCCGCGUGAGUGAUGAAGGCCUUAGGGUUGUAAAGCUCUUUUACCAGGGAUGAUAAUGACAGUACCUGGAGAAUAAGCUCCGGCUAACUCCGUGCCAGCAGCCGCAGUAAUAC
rnacentral:rRNA from 1 species